AGUUACUGGGCGUAAAGGGUGUGUAGGCGGCCUGUUAAGUUCCGUGUGAAAUCUCCCGGCUCAACCGGGAGGGUGCGCGGAAUACUGACGGGCUAGAGUGCGGGAUGGGAGAGUAGAAUUCCUGGUGUAGCGGUGAAAUGCGUAGAUAUCAGGAGGAAUACCGGUGGCGUAGACGGCUCUCUGGACCGCAACUGACGCUGAGACACGAAAGCGUGGGUAGCAAACAGGAUUAGAUACCCUGGUAGUCCACGCCCUAAACGAUGCAUAUUUGGUGUAGGUCAUUCAGUUGAUCUGUGCCGGAGCUAACGCGUUAAAUAUGCCGCCUGGGGAGUGCAGUCGCAAGGCUGAAACUCAAAGGAAUUGACGGGGGCCCGCACAAGCGGUGGAGCAUGUGGUUCAAUUCGACGCAACGCGAAGAACCUUACCUGGGCUCGAACGGCUGGUCAACGAUCGUGGAAACACGGUUACUCCGCAAGGGGGUCCAGUCGAGGUGCUGCAUGGCUGUCGUCAGCUCGUGUCGUGAGAUGUUGGGUUAAGUCCCGCAACGAGCGCAACCCUCGCCUUUAGUUGCCAGCAUUCAGUUGGGCACUCUAGAGGGACUGCCGGUGUCAAACCGGAGGAAGGUGGGGAUGACGUCAAGUCCUCAUGGCCUUUAUGUCUAGGGCUACACACGUACUACAAUGGCCGGUACAAAGGGCAGCCACUCAGCGAUGAGGCGCUAAUCCCAUAAAGCCGGUCUCAGUCCGGAUCGCAGUCUGCAACUCGACUGCGUGAAGUUGGAAUCGCUGGUAAUCGUAGAUCAGCAUGUACGGUGAUACGUUC
rnacentral:rRNA from 1 species